rnacentral:rRNA from 1 species
UACAGAGGGUGCGAGCGUUAAUCGGAAUUACUGGGCGUAAAGCGCGCGUAGGUGGCUUUGCAAGUCGGGUGUGAAAUCCCCAGGCUUAACCUGGGAACUGCAUUCGAGACUGCAUUGCUAGAGUAUGGGAGAGGGAAGUGGAAUUUCCGGUGUAGCGGUGAAAUGCGUAGAUAUCGGAAGGAACAUCAGUGGCGAAAGCGGCUUCCUGGACCAGUACCGACGUUCAGGCACGAAAGCGUGGGGAGCGAACAGG